UACGGAGGGUGCAAGCGUUAAUCGGAAUUACUGGGCGUAAAGCGCACGCAGGUGGCUGAGUCAGUCGAUUGUGAAAGCCCUGGGCUUAACCUGGGAAUUGCAGUCGAUACUACUCGGCUCGAGUAUGGGAGAGGGCAGUGGAAUUCCCGGUGUAGCGGUGAAAUGCGUAGAUAUCGGGAGGAACAUCAGUGGCGAAGGCGGCUGCCUGGCCCAAUACUGACACUCAGGUGCGACAGCGUGGGGAGCAAACAGG
rnacentral:rRNA from 1 species